AGCGAACGCUGGCGGCGUGCUUAACACAUGCAAGUCGAGUGCGCAAUCUUCUGUAGCAAUACAGGGGGUGGGCGCACGGCGCACGGGUGCGUAACACGUGGGCAACCUGCCCUUCGGUGGGGAAUAACUCCGCGAAAGCGGAGCUAAUUCCGCAUGACAUUCCGGGAAGUCCGCUUCCUGGACUCAAAGGCUGCAAGGCCGCCGGAGGAGGGGCCCACGCCCGAUUAGCUAGUUGGCAGGGUAACGGCCUACCAAGGCUAUGAUCGGUAGCCGGUCUGAGAGGAUGGCCGGCCACACUGGAACUGAGACACGGUCCAGACUCCUACGGGAGGCAGCAGUGGGGAAUCUUGCGCAAUGGGCGAAAGCCUGACGCAGCGACGCCGCGUGGGGGAUGAAGCUUUUCGGAGUGUAAACCCCUUUCGACCCGGACGAAUGGCCCGCAAGGGACGUGACGGUACGGGUAGAAGAAGCCCCGGCUAACUACGUGCCAGCAGCCGCGGUAAGACGUAGGGGGCCAGCGUUGCUCGGAAUUACUGGGCGUAAAGGGUUCGUAGGCGGUGCGGCAAGUCGGGAGUGAAAUCUCUGGGCUUAACCCAGAGGCUGCUUCCGAAACUGCCGUGCUCGAGUGCGGGAGAGGCGAGUGGAAUUGCAGGUGUAGCGGUGAAAUGCGUAGAUAUCUGCAGGAACACCCGUGGCGAAAGGCGGCUCGCUGGACCGCAACUGACGCUGAGGAACGAAAGCUAGGGGAGCAAACAGGAUUAGAUACCCUGGUAGUCCUAGCCCUAAACGAUCAGGACUUGGGGUGGCUCGCGUAGGCGGGUCGUCCCG
rnacentral:rRNA from 1 species